AUUAGUAGCUGUGAGACCUCCAACACAUUUUUUAACCUCUUUGAGCCUCAGCUUCUUUAUUUACAAUUUGAUGAUGAUAAUAGAAAUUUUGAAGAAUCUGAAGAUGAACUGAGAGAUGAAGCAGUAGAAUCCUUAGAAAAACUCGCUUCUUUCAAAGGGGAAGACAACACAGACAAGGCCUCUAGUGCCUCUCAGGACUCUGGAAAGUCAAUAGAAAAAGACGAAAUAAGUGUGCAGAAACCUGAAGAAUUAAGUGAAGGCUUGGAGAAUAUUUCUACUCCAUCUAAUGACCACAUUUGUAUUACUGAUGAAGACCAAGGAACAUCAACAACCAGUCAAAAUGUACAAGUGUGAUUAUUGUACUUUUUCUUAGUAAGUUAGUAUCUGUUACCCAUAGUAUUUGUUUGGGUACAAGUCAUAAAUGCUCAUUUACUGUAAGGGUUUUCUAGUAAUUGCAAGGAUUUAUUAAUUUUUCUUUCAGUUUAGAAAGUGUAACUUCUGAAUGUAGACAUUAAUAUUUCUAAAGUUUCGAUUAAGAAAUCUUUCAGCUAACACAUGUGGUAGGCAGAGUAAUGUGGCUCAACAACCCCCUCCAGAAUGUGCUCCGUCCUAAUCCCCACAGUUUGUGAAUAUGGCAAAGGAGAAUUAAAGUUGCAGGUGAAAUUGUUUGCUCAUCAGCUGACCUUAAAAUAGGGAGGUUCUCUUGGUUUAUCCACGUGAGUGCAGUGUAAUCACAAGGGUCCUUACGAGUGUAAGAGGAAGACAAAAGAGAAAAGUAGAGGGAUGGCAGCAUGAAAAGGACUCAGCCUGAUGUUGCUUGCCUUGAAGAUGGAGGACAAGGCCAUAAACUAAGAAUUCAGACAGCCUCUGGAAUCCGGGAAAGGCAAAGAAAUGGAUGCUUCCCUGGAGCCUCCAGAAGGAACACAGACAGCCCUGCCAACACCUUGAUCUGAGCCUGGUGAGAUCCACUUCAGAUUUCUGACCUGCAGAACUGUAAGAUAAUAAAUUUAUGUUGAGUAAGUUUGUGAUAAUUUGU
rnacentral:lncRNA from 13 species